UGUACUAUUAUACAAUAUUACUAUACUGUACUAUAAUAUUGUACUAUACUAUUAUACAGUAUUACUAUACUGUACUAUACUAUUAUACGAUAUGACUAUACUAUUAUACUGUACUAUACUAUUAUACUGUACUAUACUAUUAUACAAUAUUACUAUACUAUUAUACUGUACUAUACUAUUAUAUGAUAUUACUAUACUAUUAUACUGUAUUAUACGAUAUUACUAUACUAUUAUAUGAUAUUUGUAUACUAUAACUGUAGUAAACAAUUAUUAUACUGUAAUUAUACUAUUACUAUACUGUACUAUUACUGUACUGUACUAUUACUACUAUACUAUUACUGUACUACACUAUUACUAUACUGUACUGUACUAUUACUGUAUUGUACUAUUACUAUUACUGUAUUGUACUGUACUAUUACUAUACUAUUAUUGUACUGUACUAUUACUUUACUUUUACGGUAUUGUACUGUACUAUUACUGUACUAUACUAUUACUAUACUGUACUAUUACUAUAUUGUAUUGUACUAUUACUAUAUUGUACUGUACUAUUACUAUACUAUUGCUGUAUUGUACUAUACUAUUACUGUACUAUAACUAUACUGUACUAUAUUGUUACUGUACUAUACUAUUACUCUACUGUACUACACUAUUACUGUACUACACUAUUACUAUACUAUUACCAUACUGUAAUAUAACUAUGCUAUUAGUGCACAGAGUUUUCUCCGUGUACUCUGUUCUGCCCUGAAACUGGUGGAAUUCCAAAUAGCUAAUUAGUCCACUACUUUUGACAAGAGGGCCCAUAGGCAUUUGGGACACAGGCCUCUUGUCUUUCUUGUGGCUUGGCUCAUAUAUUAUGUUAGUGAAAGACUUGCUCCACAGCGAUAAAGUUCUGCAAUGCGGCGGUGUAGUCUUCACUGCAAAAUGGAAUGUUACACUUUUGUUUGUUUACUUGUUUACUAUACUGUUGUUUUGUUGUUGUUAAAAACAUUUAAAAAAUAUAUAUAUAUGAUCUUGAUCUUUUGAAGUUCAUGUGAACAUGUCAAAUCUGUGAUGCGCAUUCCUGCGUUUUUUUAACAUAUAAAUGUUAUUACUGGAAUCUAGAAUAGUCAUUAUAUUAAUUGUAUUUCCAUGGUUUCUAAUAUAUGACAAGAUCUGUGCCUCAACUUUUUUGAUGUUAUGACACACACACACACAUGCUUUUGAUGUUAUGACAGAUACACAGGUUUUUGAUGUUAUGACAGAUACACAGGUUUUUGAUGUUAUGACAGAUACACAGGUUUUUGAUGUUAUGACAUAAAAUCAGUGUAAUAAAUGAAGGAAGUGGUGAAAACACUGAGAAAUAAAAUGGAGUAUUGAAGAGGGAA